rnacentral:rRNA from 1 species
CCUACGGGAGGCAGCAGUGGGGCAUAUUGGGCAAUGGGCGCAAGCCUGACCCAGCAACGCCGCGUGAGGGAAGAAGUCUUUCGGUUUGUAAACUUCUUUUGACAGGGAAGAGUAUAAGACUGUCCCUGUCGAAUAACCCACGUCUAACUACGUGCCAGCAGCCGCGGUAAUACGUAGGUGGCAAGCGUUGUGCGGAUUUACUGGGUGUAAAGGGCGUGGAGCCGGGUCAACAAGUCAGAUGUGAAAUCCUGCGGCUCAACCGCAGAACUGCAUUUGAAACUGUUGAUCUUGAGUACAGGAGAGGCAGACGGAAUUCCUAGUGUAGCGGUGAAAUGCGUAGAUAUUAGGAGGAACACCAGUGGCGAAGGCGGUCUGCUGGACAGCAACUGACGGUGAGGCGCGAAAGCGUGGGGAGCAAACAGGAGUAGAUACCCCUGUAGUC